UACGUAGGUGGCGAGCGUUAUCCGGAUUUAUUGGGUUUAAAGGGUGCGUAGGCGGCUUUUUAAGUCGGUGGUUAAAGGUAGCAGCUCAACUGUUUUACAUGCCAUCGAAACUGAAGAGCUUGAGUUAUCAGGAGGCAGGCGGAAUUUCUGGUGUAGCGGUGAAAUGCAUAGAUACCAGAAGGAACACCUAUUGCGAAGGC
rnacentral:rRNA from 1 species